AACAUCAAGCAUAAUAUUUCAUUGAUUCUCACAAAAACAGUUGGGUGCCACAGUUAUCCCCAUUAUAUGCACAAAAUGAUGAAGACUUGGGGUUAAUGAGCGAUUUGCCCAAGCUCACCUGAAUAUUAGGACUGAGUCAAAUGUUAGUCUGGUCUGACUUUAAUGCUUGCCUUGUUCAUGAGCACCAUGCAUUGCCUCUCCUAUUAAGUUAAGCAGGUAGACAGGUGAGAGAAGAGCCUGUGUGAUAUCGGGGGAAAUUCACCCCUGAUAUUUCAUGUAGGUUCUUUUCUAUUUUCCCUGAGUGUCAGCCGGUCUGAGAAAUAAAGGGAAAGAGUACAAAAGAGAGAAAUUUUAAAGCUGGGUGUCCAGGGGAGACAUCACACGUCAGCAGGUUCCGUGAUGCCCCCCCAAGCUGCAAAACCAACAAGUUUUUAUUAGUGAUUUUCAAAAGGGGAGGGAGUGUACGAAUAGGGUGUGGGUCACAGAGAUCACAUGCUUCACAAGGUAAUAAAAUAUCACAAGGCAAAUGGAGGCAGGGCAAGACCACAGGACCGGGGCGAAAUUAAAAUUGCUAAUGAAGUUUCGGGCACGCAUUUUCAUUGAUAACAUCUUAUCAGGAGAAAGGGUUUGAGAGCAGACAACCCAUCUGACCAAAAUUUAUUAGGCGGGAAUUUCCUUGUCCUGAUAAGCCUGGGAGCGCCACGCGAACCCAGGGCUUAUUUCGUCCCUUAUCUACGACUGUAAAAGACAGCUGUCCCCAAAGCGGCCAUUUCAGAGGCCUCCCCUUAGGGAUGCAUUCUCUUUCUCAGGGAUGUUCUUUGCUGAGAAAAAGAAUUCAGCAAUAUUUCUCCUAUUUGCUUUUGAAAGAAGAGAAAUAUGGCUCUGUUCCACCCGGCCCACAGGCAGCCAGAGUUUAAGGUUAUCUCCCUUGUUCCCUGAAAUUGCUGUUAUCCUGUUCUUUUUUCAAGGUGCCCAGGUUUCAUAUUGUUUAAACAACUUGUGCAGUUAACGCAAUUAUCACAGGGUCCUGCGGGGACAUCAUCCUCAGCUUACGAAGGUGACCGGAUUAAGAGAUUAAAGUAAAGACAGGCAUAGGAAAUCACAAGGGUAUUGAUUGGGGAAGUGAUAAGUGUCCAUGAAAUCUUCACAAUUUAUGUUCAGAGAUUGCAGUAAAGACAGGCCUAAGAAAUUAUAGAAGUAUUAAUUUGGGGAACUAACAAAUGUCUAUGAAAUCUUCACAAUUUAUGUUCUUCUGCCAUGGCUUCAGCCAGUCCCUCCGUUUGGGGUCCCUGACUUCCCGCAACACGUUUCUCUCUACUCACAGACUUCUGACCAAAUGUGUGUGCAGAGUUUCUACACCAGUUCUCCAACUCUCUGGAUACCAACCGCGUAUCCCACAAUUCCAUUCUGACACUACCUAGAGUUAGCACAGAACCCACAGGUUAGGGGCUCAGUCCCACAAGACCACCCUCACUUCAGAUGCCAGUUGCAAGUCCUAGGUUGUCACCUGUAUUUUGACCAACCAGUUAGAAAUCGGGGUUUCCCAUGACCCUCUUCUUGAGUUUAAUUAUUUACUAGAACAACUCACAGAACUUAGAAAAACAGGUUUUUUUUCUUUUCUAUUUAAGAGACAGGGCCUCGCUCUGUUGUCCAAGCUGGUGUGCAGUGGUGCAAUCAUAGCUCAUUGAAGCCUCAACCUCCAGGGCUCAAGUGAUUCUCCUGCUUCAGCCUCUCAAGUAGCUGGAAUUACAGGGUUCCCACCACCACAUUUGGCUCAUUUCUUUUAUUUUUUGUAUAGAUGGGGUCUUCUUAUGUUGCCCAGGUUGGUCUCAAAUUGCUAGGCUCAAGUGAUUCCACCCACCUCUGCCUCCCACAGUGCUGGGAUUACGGGCAUGAGCCAGCGCAUCUGGCCACCUUAUUUUCAAUUACUGGCUCAAUGUAAUGGCUCCAUCUCAGGAACAGCCAAUGAAAGAGAUGCACAGGACAAGGAAGUGAGCUCACAAUGACUCAAGCUGCCACAUAGUGUUGAUUGUGAAAUGCCAGUUGAAGCAUAUGUCCUGCGAGCUUGGGGGUGCUACAAGUUGACCACUGCAGCAGUAAAGAUGACUCUGAAGAAUGGCGUGGGAUGGAUCCUUUCAAAUGCACUUGAGCAGCAGUCUCCAACCACAGGGCCACAGAGCUGGAGCUGGAUCUACCAUGAAAGACUUCUGAAUCCAGGAAGAGAGACUGACUGGGCAACAUGUUAUUCAGGUACAAAAAGAUUUGGACUGUAACUUAAAAAUGAUCAAAUAAUAGUGCAUGCAUCAAGUGCAAUGGGAAGCUCCACUGGAGAGUGAGAGAAGCUUCCAGUUAAGGUGACAUUGAAGCCAAGUCCUGAAAGAUGAGGAAGAGUUGUAUGAGAGUGGGGAGGGAAGGGGGAGGUGGAGGGAUGGGGAAUGGGUCGGGAUGGGAUAGCAUAAACUGCCCGGGAAGGGAAACCAGCACUGUACAGAACUGAACAACGAAGAUGGCAUAUUUUGUUCAGGGAAU
rnacentral:lncRNA from 10 species